UGCAAAGAAAUUUACUUCAAGGAUAAAAGUAAAUGAAAUACUCUUACUAGAGAAAUACGGAACAUACAUGUGAGUAGUAAAGUACAAAACAAACUAUACAUUUGGAUGCAUGGAGCUACAAGUAAAAGUUCCUUUCAAGCAUGGGAAACCCUUCUCAAGAGGGGAAUGAAGUAAUAGCUAGUCCUACUCUAUUGGAAUUGUAGCAGCCAAAAACUUAGAUAAAAGUUAAGGUUGCUUUGGUCAAGGGAGCUACAGUAAGAGAUCUUCUUUCCUCCCUCUCCUCCUCUCCAUCUUUCUCAAAUUUGUGCCCCACAAGAUUCCAAAUGCGCAGCCAAAGUACCUACAAUAUUUACACCAAAAGGGGUAUUAGAUUUUGACACAUAAGUAAAGGGGAGGAGGCACAAGCCAAUUAAGAAGAGAGAUGUAAUAGGAAAGUAGAGCAGCCAAGAGGCUGCAGAUUUGGCAAUAAGAUCAACCCCAAAAUUGUCCCUUUCCAAGGCUGCAUGUUUGAGAAACUAAACCAAGCUGAGACAAGGUAAUAGAACUCAGCCACAAGCCAAAAAUUGAAGGAUAAAGUUUGCUUCAUCGAGACUCAAGGGAGCAGCCAAGGGAGGGAACCCUUUUCCCCCAAAACUUGCACCAACUUAGUAUGAAUGACAUAAACAUAGAGCCCAAAAGGAGGCCAAGUAUGCAGCCCCAAAAUAGCAUCACAACCUCCCAAAAAUCAGGCACAAGAUGCCAAUAGUUUGAGGGCUAUAUAAACAAGCCCCCUCACCACUCCCUCCUUCCCAGAUUUCGACAUUACCGCAAGAAGUGCAGUGAAUGGGAGGGAAGAGGAGCAAGGGCGGCAAGAGAUCAGUCCAUAACCGAGAAAGGCCACCAAGCAAGGUAAAUCGAUAAUACACCAUUUGCAUCAUGAUAGGCAGCCAAGUGCAUAGCUCCAAGAACAUAGAUUAUCACAAGGGAAAUCAUAGACAACUCAAGGACAUAGGGAACUAAAUUGCCACAAAGCCUUAGCAUACAUACUGCAGUAAUCGAGUUCAAACGCCAAGAAUCUCAAUAUCUCAUAGCUACUGCCCAGCUCACAAUAAAACCAAAGAGCAAGAUUAAACUGGAUCACAACUAGACAAAGUUCUUAAUCACCAAAAUAUUGCAUAACUCGACAUAAAUCGAGUAAGAAGGGAAAAGGGGGGGGGGGUGAAGAAUUAGCUUAGGAAGGGGACCAGUCCGGCGACGGCAGAAUCCCGGAAACUCGGCGGGGUAGCUACGGGUCGCGGCUGAAAGAGAGAGGGAGGCGACGCCUCCUCUCCACCGCCGACUUCGCCGAAAGGGGGGAGUACUCGCCGGAGGGAGCGAGCGCGAACUCCGGUGCAUGUUGUGGCUGCCUCGCGAAGGAGACAACGGCGAACGGUGCGGGACGACGACGGUAGGGGCUGCUGCUCACGGCGCGGGACGACGGCGGACUCCGAAAGUGCUGUCGAGGUGGCAGCGUUUUGCCGGAGAACAGAGAUAUCGAGAGAGAGAAGAAAUCGCCGAUGUGUUCUUCUCAUUUAGGGAUCUGAGAUUUAAUUGGAAAAUAGUGAACUAAAAGAGAGAGAUGCCCGAUUUGAGGGGGGGGGGUCGGACUCUCUCCGGGCAUGAAUUCACCGGAGAAGGUGAGAAAUGGAAAGGAGGCGAGAGGAAGAAGAAGACG